rnacentral:sRNA from 2 species
AUGUACAACGUGUGCAUUCCGGUUCCUGUGCUCCGGCCUCGCCGUUCUGACGGGUGCUCGCUACUUUUUAAAA